rnacentral:rRNA from 1 species
AAAUAGAUACCCUGGUAGUCCACGCCGUAAACGAUGUCGACUUGGAGGUUGUGCCCUUGAGGGCGUGGCUUCCGGAGCUAACGCGUUAAGUCGACCGCCUGGGGAGUACGGCCGCAAGGUUAAAACUCAAAUGAAUUGACGGGGGCCCGCACAAGCGGUGGAGCAUGUGGUUUAAUUCGAUGCAACGCGAAGAACCUUACCUACUCUUGACAUCCAGAGAACUUAGCAGAGAUGCUUUGGUGCCUUCGGGAACUCUGAGACAGGUGCUGCAUGGCUGUCGUCAGCUCGUGUUGUGAAAUGUUGGGUUAAGUCCCGCAACGAGCGCAACCCUUAUCCUUUGUUGCCAGCGGUUAGGCCGGGAACUCAAAGGAGACUGCCAGUGAUAAACUGGAGGAAGGUGGGGAUGACGUCAAGUCAUCAUGGCCCUUACGAGUAGGGCUACACACGUGCUACAAUGGCGCAUACAAAGAGAAGCGACCUCGCGAGAGCAAGCGGACCUCAUAAAGUGCGUCGUAGUCCGGAUUGGAGU